rnacentral:rRNA from 1 species
UGCAGUCGAACGAUGAAGCCCAGCUUGCUGGGCGGAUUAGUGGCGAACGGGUGAGUAAUACGUGAGUAACCUGCCUUUAACUCUGGGAUAAGCCUUGGAAACGGGGUCUAAUACCGGAUACGACCAACCCUCGCAUGGGGUGUUGGUGGAAAGGGAUUUUGUACUGGUUUUAGAUGGGCUCACGGCCUAUCAGCUUGUUGGUGAGGUAACGGCUCACCAAGGCGACGACGGGUAGCCGGCCUGAGAGGGUGACCGGCCACACUGGGACUGAGACACGGCCCAGACUCCUACGGGAGGCAGCAGUGGGGAAUAUUGCACAAUGGGCGCAAGCCUGAUGCAGCGACGCCGCGUGAGGGAUGACGGCCUUCGGGUUGUAAACCUCUUUCAGCAGGGGAGAAGCGAAAGUGACGGUACCUGCAGAAGAAGCGCCGGCUAACUACGUGCCAGCAGCCGCGGUAAUACGUAGGGCGCGAGCGUUGUCCGGAAUUAUUGGGCGUAAAGAGCUUGUAGGCGGUUUGUCGCGUCUGCUGUGAAAGCCCGGGGCUUAACCCCGGGUUUGCAGUGGGUACGGGCAGACUAGAGUGCAGUAGGGGAGACUGGAAUUCCUGGUGUAGCGGUGAAAUGCGCAGAUAUCAGGAGGAACACCAAUGGCGAAGGCAGGUCUCUGGGCUGUAACUGACGCUGAGAAGCGAAAGCAUGGGGAGCAAACAGGAUUAGAUACCCUGGUAGUCCAUGCCGUAAACGUUGGGCACUAGGUGUGGGGAACAUUCCACGUUUUCCGCGCCGUAGCUAACGCAUUAAGUGCCCCGCCUGGGGAGUACGGCCGCAAGGCUAAAACUCAAAGAAAUUGACGGGGGCCCGCACAAGCGGCGGAGCAUGCGGAUUAAUUCGAUGCAACGCGAAGAACCUUACCAAGGCUUGACAUAUACUAGACCGCCUCAGAGAUGGGGUUUCCCUUCGGGGCUGGUAUACAGGUGGUGCAUGGUUGUCGUCAGCUCGUGUCGUGAGAUGUUGGGUUAAGUCCCGCAACGAGCGCAACCCUCGUUCUAUGUUGCCAGCACGUAAUGGUGGGGACUCAUAGGAGACUGCCGGGGUUAACUCGGAGGAAGGUGGGGAUGACGUCAAAUCAUCAUGCCCCUUAUGUCUUGGGCUUCACGCAUGCUACAAUGGCCGGUACAAAGGGUUGCGAUACUGUGAGGUUGAGCUAAUCCCAAAAAGCCGGUCUCAGUUCGGAUUGGGGUCUGCAACUCGACCCCAUGAAGUCGG